UGCACCAAUGAUGAAUUGUUAGGGACCAAUUAUUUUGAUUCAUCCAAUUUUGUAUACCUGAGAUCCUGA
rnacentral:snoRNA from 1 species